rnacentral:rRNA from 1 species
UUCUUAUAGAGUUAAUUAUAAGUAUAGCCUGCUCAAUGAAAUUUAAAUAGCCGCAAUCACUUGUGCUAAGGUAGCAUAAUCAUUUGUUUUUUAAUUAAAAACUAGAAUGAAAGGCUCAACGUUUAAUUAACUUUAUUUAUUAAUUUAUACUAAAUUAGUUUAAAUGUUAAAAAACAUUUAUUCUUAAAAUAGACGAUAAGACCCUAUCAAACUUUACUUAAGUUAAGCUGGGGCAGCUUUUAAACAAAAUCUUUAUUAUUUUAUUAAAAUAAAUGACCCAUUAUUAAUGAUAAAAUGAUCAAGUUACUGUAGGGAUAACAGCAUAAUCAAAUUCUAAAGCUCUUAUUUAAAAUUUGGAUUGUGACCUCGAUGUUGAAUAAUAUUAUAACUUAGCGCAACAACUAAUGUUUAUAGGUCUGUUCGACCUUUAAUUUAUUACA